AACAGUGAAUGCCGUAUUCACAUUGCCAUUAGGAUAGUUUAUUUUCCUUUUGUGCGCAAUUACCUCUUUCUAGGAAUUGCUUCCCAAUGUAUUUGCCUUUUCAGGCACAUUUUCAAUCAAUAAAAGUAGUUAUUCAGAUAAAUUGCUCUCUUGUUUUUAUUUUUACUGUUUUGUUUGCAAAAACGUCCGACUUUUUGAUAAACAUUGCAUCUAAAAACAUGAAGGCUAAACAAUGACAUGCAG
rnacentral:lncRNA from 1 species